ensembl:snRNA U6 U6 spliceosomal RNA
GUGCUCGCUUCAGCAGCACAUAUACUAAAAUUGGAACAAUACAGAGAAGAUUAGCACGGCCCCUGUGCAAAGAUGACACACAAAUUCAUGAAGCAUUCCAUAUUUUU